CCUACGGGUGGCUGCAGUAGGGAAUAUUGCUCAAUGGGGGAAACCCUGAAGCAGCAACGCCGCGUGGAGGAUGAAGGUCUUCGGAUUGUAAACUCCUUUUCUAAGAGAAGAUUAUGACGGUAUCUUAGGAAUAAGCACCGGCUAACUCCGUGCCAGCAGCCGCGGUAAUACGGAGGGUGCAAGCGUUACUCGGAAUCACUGGGCGUAAAGAGCACGUAGGCGGCCUUACAAGUCAGAUGUGAAAUCUAACGGCUUAACCGUUAAACUGCAUUUGAAACUGUAGGGCUAGAGUAUGGGAGAGGUAGGUGGAAUUCUCGGUGUAGGGGUAAAAUCCGUAGAGAUCGAGAGGAAUACUCAUUGCGAAGGCGACCUGCUGGAACAUUACUGACGCUCUGGUGCGAAAGCGUGGGGAGCAAACAGGAUUAGAUACCCCAGUAGUC
rnacentral:rRNA from 1 species